GGCUUACUACUUCCAUUUUAAUUCAACCCAUAAUCCAUUCUACAAUUAUCAAUUCAAAAAUACUCCUCUCAAUCACAAUUCUUCAUAAGCAAAUAAUAAAGAAAACAAAGAAGUAGCACCAAGCUUACCUUGGCUUACGACUCUCACAGUUUGACUCUCGACUUACGACUCUCACAAUCUGGCCCUCGGCUUAGAACUCUCAUAGUCUGACUCUCGGCUUACGACUCUCACAGUCAGGUCCUCGGCUUAUGACUCUCUUAGUUUGGCUCUCGGCUUACGACUCUCAUAGUCUGGCUCUUGACUUACUUUCCUCAACCUAUUUAUCCUACCAAAAAGAUGAUCCAUCGGCUA
rnacentral:lncRNA from 1 species